rnacentral:tRNA from 1 species
GGGCUUCUAGCUCAACUGGCAGAGCAGCGGACUUUUAAUCCGCGGGUUCAGGGUUCGAGUCCCUGGAGGCCCA